GCGGUCCAGGCUGAGGCGGCGGCGGCGGCGGCGGCGGCGGCGGCGGGCGGGGCUCUGCUCGGGCUCCGCGGGCGGGCGGGCGGACAUGGCGGCCAACAUGUACCGGGUCGGAGAUUAUGUCUACUUUGAGAAUUCUUCCAGCAACCCAUACCUAAUCAGAAGAAUAGAAGAACUUAACAAGACUGCAAGUGGCAACGUGGAAGCAAAGGUAGUGUGCUUUUAUAGACGACGAGAUAUAUCCAACACUCUCAUAAUGCUUGCGGACAAGCAUGCUAAAGAAAUUGAAGAAGAAUCUGAAACAACAGUUGAGGCAGACUUGACUGAUAAACAGAAACAUCAGUUGAAACAUAGGGAACUCUUUUUGUCACGCCAAUAUGAAUCUCUCCCUGCAACACAUAUCAGGGGAAAAUGCAGUGUUGCUCUUCUGAAUGAGACAGAAUCAGUAUUGUCAUAUCUUGAGAAAGAGGAUACCUUUUUCUACUCCUUGGUCUAUGACCCCUCAGUGAAAACACUAUUAGCUGACAAAGGUGAAAUCAGAGUGGGUCCUAGAUACCAAGCAGACAUUCCAGAAAUGCUCUUAGAAGGAGAAUCAGAUGAGAGAGAACAGUCAAAAUUGGAAAUGAAAGUUUGGGAUCCAAAUAGCCCACUUACAGACCGACAGAUUGACCAGUUCUUAGUUGUAGCUCGGGCUGUUGGGACAUUUGCUAGAGCCCUGGACUGUAGCAGUUCUGUGAGGCAGCCUAGCUUGCACAUGAGCGCCGCUGCAGCUUCCCGAGACAUCACGUUGUUUCAUGCUAUGGAUACGUUGUAUAGACACAGCUAUGACUUGAGCAGUGCAAUUAGUGUCUUAGUACCACUUGGAGGACCUGUUUUAUGCAGAGAUGAAAUGGAAGAAUGGUCGGCCUCUGAAGCUAGCUUAUUUGAAGAGGCACUAGAAAAAUAUGGCAAGGACUUCAAUGACAUACGUCAAGACUUUCUCCCUUGGAAGUCAUUGACUAGCAUCAUUGAGUAUUAUUACAUGUGGAAAACUACUGACAGAUAUGUGCAGCAGAAACGUCUAAAAGCAGCAGAAGCUGAGAGUAAACUGAAACAAGUUUAUAUCCCAACUUACAGCAAACCAAAUCCCAACCAAAUAUCCACCAGCAAUGGCAAGCCUGGCGCUGUGAAUGGAGCUGUGGGGACCACGUUCCAGCCCCAGAACCCCCUAUUAGGGCGAGCCUGUGAGAGCUGCUAUGCUACACAGUCUCACCAGUGGUAUUCUUGGGGCCCACCCAAUAUGCAGUGUAGAUUAUGUGCAACUUGUUGGCUGUAUUGGAAAAAAUAUGGAGGCCUGAAAAUGCCCACCCAGUCAGAAGAAGAAAAGUUAUCUCCCAGUCCAACUACAGAGGACCCCCGAGUUAGAAGUCACCUGUCCCGGCAGGCUAUGCAAGGGAUGCCUGUCCGAAACACUGGGAGUCCAAAGUCUGCAGUGAAGACCCGCCAAGCUUUCUUCCUUCAUACUACAUAUUUCACAAAGUUUGCUCGUCAGGUCUGCAAAAAUACCCUACGGUUGCGGCAGGCAGCAAGACGGCCGUUUGUUGCUAUUAAUUAUGCUGCCAUUAGGGCAGAAUAUGCAGACAGACAUGCCGAACUAUCUGGGAGUCCACUGAAAAGCAAAAGCACUAGGAAACCUUUGGCAUGUAUCAUCGGGUAUUUAGAGAUCCAUCCUGCAAAGAAACCUAAUGUUAUUCGUUCCACACCAAGCCUGCAAACCCCAACUACCAAGCGGAUGCUAACUACCCCGAAUCACACAUCUCUAAGCAUUCUGGGGAAAAGAAACUACAGUCAUCACAAUGGCCUGGACGAAAGGCUCAUGAAGUGAAGGCACAGCUCCACUCCAUCCUGCAACCCUUCCUCAGCGUGGUACAAGGCUGUGAAGAACUCACUUGUUGUGUGUCAGACUGAGCGAUCCCUGUUCCAUCCUACAAUCCAAGACUCGCUACUGUCCUGCUGAUGUUCACAGCUGUGCCUGGGAAGGAGGCGGCUGGAGACCCCCGUGUGUACCCCACGGAGACCCGAUGGGGAGGGAAGAAACUGUAGGAGUGCAGGUUCCAAAUCUGCACCUCCACCUGUGAACCAGCAGCGCCUGGCUUCCUUCUCAGAGACCUCUUGUCCCCAGCAGACCUGCCUGAGAACCGAGGGGGGGCAGGAGCCACUCCUCCUCGCUUAUUGGUGCCACACUCCCCAGGAAUGGUGGCCUCGGGCGAUGGAGGCUGCUGAGAGCUUGGAGCCCUGCUGCCCUGCAUGUGUCUGUCCUGCUCUGUUUUAUGCUGUAUAGUUAUGCACAGGAGGGAUGUGGCAGCUUUCUGAGUGCAUUUUUCUUAAGAAAUGUGCUGGUGUUUACGCAGCUCAUGGUAUUUCCCCAUCCUCGCUGUUCCUGUCACUUGGCAUUUUCUCAAUAGGCUGCUUUUUUUUUUUUUUUUUUAACUGGGGAAAUGUUAGUCUUGACCCCCGCAUCCCGGACUCCAUCCCACUCCCAGCCCCUGCUGCACAGUGAUCCGAAGAUGAGGCAAGCCCCGGGCUCUGCUGGGCAUCUGGUUCGUUGCUGCGGGGAGGCUGGUGUUCUCUCUGGUUCUGUGUUCCCCUGGAGUCUCUAUCGAGAGCAGGUGUUAAACAUGCCAAGUGUGUGCAUCACUGUGACAAGCCAUUUGCUUAUUGCCCUGUUCCCUUACCGCUGAAUCAGCUGACAAGCUGUAGCCAGGUGGGUCCACAGCGGGUCCUCAAUCACCCAGGUUUAUUUGAGGCAGUCAGAUUCUGCUGGGCCUAAGGAAAGUGGGGUGAAGGACUGUUUGCAGGUAUGAGUCUUUAGGUGGCUGCAUGGUCCCCACCUCUCUGGCCAGUGUUUCUGUAGGCAUAUAUGCCUCAGCCCCAGGAGACCUGCCUGAUUUACUGGCUUGGGCUCUACCUGCCUUCCCUGGGCACAGCCCUUGGUGGCAUUCCAGCUGGCCACUCUGCCAUCUGUGCACACAGCUGCGGGCAUUGGAACCACUCAGUGCCAUUAGCUUCUUGAGCAGCCCGAGCCCAGCGCUCCCCUACCCUCCAUCAGCAGGGUGGGCCUCAAGGCUCUGUGGAAAAACAACUGGAGUCUGACCUCCCAGUUUCUUGGGGGCUGCAGUUGGGGAGGGGGCAGGUGGAUGGCUGUGAGGUGCCCCAAACAGGUUGUCGCAAGACAGAGUGGCAACAAUUGACCUGACCUCCAGGAAGAGUGAGGUGUCACAGAAAUGAGGAUGACAUUGGAAGUCUGUCCUCUGAGGCUGGCUUGGCUCUGAGGAGAACAAGGUGUACGAUGGCUGAGGAGAUGCUCAAUCUCCAUCUGCCCGUCCCUGCCCAAUCUUGGCUUCUCUGAGGAGUUGCUUCUCAGUGUAGGUGUCUGAGCCGGUGACCAGCCAUGUUCCCACCACCGAUGACCCUUGGGGCAGUCCUGGACUUAGGGGCCUCUGUGGGAGAGGGGCCUGUGUCACAGGGCUCCAUGAGACAGGUGGUACAGAUACCAGGCAUUUCCCCAGGGUUCCCACAGAGACGUCCCUUCAGCAGAGACUCUGGGGGAAGAGGCAGCGGGCCUCUGAGGUUUCUUCUCUAAAGAAAAAGAAAACACACAAAACUAUCUGUGCACCUGGCCUGGUUUGACUGUAACAUGUGGAUACAGGGGACAGGGGUGCUCACCCCUCACUUCCCGCACCUAACCCGCAUCACGUGGACCACUGGUCGCAAACAAUUGGCUGUGAUUGGCUGAAUCCAUUGCUUUGGGUCUCAGGUAAGGCAGAACAUCAUGGUCAAAGGAUACAGAGGAAGACUGCUCUAUUCAUGACAGCCAGGAAGCAGAGAGAGUUCUGCUCACCAGGGACAAAAUAUAGACCCCAAAGGCACACCCCCCAGUGACCGACUUCCUCCAGCCAUUCUUUGCCUGCCUAUAGUCACCACCCAGUACAGUAGUCCUUUCAAAUUAUCAAUCCACCUAGUGGAUUAAUCCACUGAUGACCUUAUAGAUCACAUAAUCACAACGCCUCUGAAUAUUCUUGCAUUCCUUCACACAUGAGCUUUCACACUUCACAGCCAAACCAUAACAAGCCCUUCUUAGCACCACGGCGUUGCCAUCCUGUGUGGUUACGCCUGCCACCAUUGUUCAGGAGUGUGUAAGUGGACGUGCUGAGACUAUCUGCACAGCCCAGACGUCCGUGGUGCUGCUUCCUGGGCGAAGGCACGAACUCAGCAGGCAGCACCCCCCCAGUCGCUGCACCACCUCUGGUGUCCUAACUGUGGGGAAGAGAGGACUGCAGGCUGUUGCUGGGACCUCUCACUGUUCUGCCUAGUCCACAGCCCAGUUUCUGUCACUCAGGGCCCAUCUGGGAAAGCAGAAACCACACCCCGUAUUUCAAACAUAGGGGCUUAUUUCAGAUUUGUCACAGAAAAAAAAAAAAAAAAAAAAAAAACAGAAAAAAGACCAGAGACGUGAAUUGGGGAACAAGGAAGCGCCCACACCCUGAGUCCUUCAGGACAGCCAGGAAGCAGAGAGAGUUCUGCUCACCAGGGACAAAAUAUAGACCCCAAAGGCACACCUAGGGUCUAUAUAUUUUGACAGUCCCUGUCAGAAAGGCUCCCUGUGGAGAGAAGGGGAUAAGGAGCUUAACCGCUCCCUUCUUGCCCUCCAGAUUUCUGCGGUGCCUCAUGUUAGCUAACCCCAGCCAGAAGCCAGCUUCCCUGGGAGCCGGGGACAGCAACCCGCAGGGUCAGCCCCCAGCGUGUGGUAGGGCAGAGCAGCUGGAGGACAGGCCAGGAGCAGGCCUGAGGGCCAGCAGCCUGGGUUUAUGCCCUGCCUGCUCAUGUCGUGUCCCAUCCCAGUGUUCAUGCUGCUGUUCUGGACCCUGGUGAAGGAGACAGAGCUGCCCCCUUGGGUCUUUGUGGAUUCUUUAUCCUCCACCUGGAGGAACAGUGCUUUGGGGAGGGAGGGAGCCUUCAUUCUUCGCAGUUUUUCCUGGUUUCCUUUGGGGGGAUUUACUCAUUUAGCAGCCCACCUCCCUACUCCCCUUAGGAAAGCCAUGUCCCAGUUUUCUUUGCGCCCUCCUGUUCCUCUCCCCUGCGUCUCUGGUUCUCCAGACCAGAGACCCCUAACCCAGGGCAUGCUUCCGUGCUCGUAAGUGCUUCCCCAGGAUAAUUCAUUCCAGCGUAAUGCCAGUGUGGACCGUCUGUCUAAGGAGAUGCCAUCUACUAAUCAGUUUGUAUUGUGUUUCCAAUAAAUUUCUGGAAAUAA